UCAGGUGGCCGCAGAGAAUAGGCCCAAGCGACUGUUUACCAAAAACAUAGGUUUCUGCUAAGUCGCAAGACGAUGUAUAGGAGCUGACGCCUGCCCGGUGCUGGAAGGUUAAGGGGAUCUGUUAGAGUAAUCGAAGCAGUGAACUUAAGCCCCAGUAAACGGCGGCCGUAACUAUAACGGUCCUAAGGUAGCGAAAUUCCUUGUCGGGUAAGUUCCGACCCGCACGAAAGGCGUAACGAUUUGGGCACUGUC
rnacentral:rRNA from 1 species